ensembl:snoRNA U8 U8 small nucleolar RNA
GGGUCAGAUGCAGUAAUUCUUACCUGUUCCUUCUUCUGGAAGGCAGACCAGAACGUGAUCACUGGAGUUCCCAUAAUAUGUAAUUAAAAUCUCCAUGUAAUCAAGAAUUGCAAUACCCUGAUGGCUCCUAUCUUCU